rnacentral:rRNA from 1 species
UUAGGAAUAUUGGACAAUGGGCGCAAGCCUGAUCCAGCCAUGCCGCGUGAGUGAUGAAGGCCUUCGGGUUGUAAAGCUCUUUAGCCGAUGAUUAUAAUGACUGUAGUCGGAAAAUAAGCCCCGGCUAACUUCGUGCCAGCAGCCGCGGUAAUACGAAGGGGGCGAGCGUUAUUCGGAAUCACUGGGCGUAAAGCGUGCGUAGGCUGUUCUGUAAGUUGGAAGUGAAAGCCCAGGGCUCAACCCUGGAAUUGCUUUCAAAACUACAGGACUCGAAUCUCGGAGAGGAUAGCGGAAUUUCCAGUGUAGUAGUGAAAUACGUAGAUAUUGGAAGGAACACCAGUGGCGCAAGCGGCUAUCUGGACGAGUAUUGACGCUGAGGCACGAAAGCGUGGGGAUCAAACAG